GACGAACGCUGGCGGCGUGCUUAAGACAUGCAAGUCGUACGAGAAAGUCUCUUCGGAGAUGAGUAAAGUGGCGCACGGGUGAGUAACGCGUGGGUAAUCUGCCCUUAGGUUUGGGAUAACCCCGGGAACCGGAGCUAAUACCGAAUGAGACCACGAUGACUUCGGUCGAUGUGGGAAAAGGUAGGCCUCUUCUUGAAAGCUAUCGCCAAAGGAUGAGCCCGCGUUUGAUUAGCUAGUUGGUGAGGUAAUGGCUCACCAAGGCGACGAUCAAUAGCUGGUCUGAGAGGAUGAUCAGCCACACUGGAACUGAGAUACGGUCCAGACUCCUACGGGAGGCAGCAGUCAGGAAUAUUGGGCAAUGGGCGAAAAGCCUGACCCAGCAACGCCGCGUGAAGGAUGAAGGCC
rnacentral:rRNA from 1 species